CUAUAGAUAACUUGGCCACUCUCAUCUUGUUGAUAACCUUCAACCACCAAUGAACUAGUUUUCUGGACAGUGCAUCUGCCACCCGAUUCUCAGUACCCUUUUUAUACACCACCUUAUAUUGGAGAUCGAGAAGCUUGGUAAAAACCUUCUGCUGCCAGGGAGUAUGCAGUCUCUGCUCUGUCAGUUGGAUCAGGCUUCGCUGAUCAGUAUAAAUGAUAAAUUCAGCAUAUUGUAAG
rnacentral:lncRNA from 1 species